UACGGGGGGGGCAAGCGUUGUUCGGAAUUACUGGGCGUAAAGGGUUUGUAGGUGGCCCGCUAAGUCACACGUGAAAUCCCUCAGCUUAACUGGGGAACUGCGUGUGAGACUGGCAGGCUCGAGGGCAGGAGAGGAACGCGGAAUUCCAGGUGUAGCGGUGAAAUGCGUAGAUAUCUGGAGGAACACCGGUGGCGAAGGCGGUUCUCUGGGCCUGUACUGACGCUGAGGAGCGAAAGCGUGGGGAGCGAACAGG
rnacentral:rRNA from 1 species